GUGACCUCAAAUCAGGUAGGACUACCCGCUGAACUUAAGCAUAUCAAUAAGCGGAGGAAAAGAAACUAACAAGGAUUCCCCUAGUAACUGCGAGUGAAGCGGGAAAAGCUCAAAUUUAAAAUCUGUCAGUCUUUGGCUGUCCGAGUUGUAAUCUAGAGAAGUGUUAUCUGCGCUGGACCGUGUACAAGUCUCCUGGAAUGGAGCGUCAUAGAGGGUGAGAAUCCCGUCUCUGACACGGACUGCCAGGGCUUUGUGAUGCACUCUCAAAGAGUCGAGUUGUUUGGGAAUGCAGCUCAAAAUGGGUGGUAAAUUCCAUCUAAAGCUAAAUAUUGGCGAGAGACCGAUAGCGAACAAGUACCGUGAGGGAAAGAUGAAAAGAACUUUGGAAAGAGAGUUAAACAGUACGUGAAAUUGCUGAAAGGGAAACGCUUGAAGUCAGUCGCGUUGUCUAGGGAUCAACCUUGCUUUUGCUUGGUGUACUUUCUGGUUAACGGGUCAGCAUCAAUUUUGAUCAUUGGAAAAAGGUUAGGGGAAUGUGGCAUCUUUGGAUGUGUUAUAGCCCUUGAUUGUAUACAAUGGUUGGGAUUGAGGAACUCAGCAUGCCGCAAGGCCGGGUUUUUAACCACGUACGUGCUAGGAUG
rnacentral:rRNA from 1 species